UACGAAGGGGGCUAGCGUUGUUCGGAAUUACUGGGCGUAAAGCGCGCGCAGGCGGUUCUUCAAGUCAGUGGUGAAAGCCCGGAGCUCAACUCCGGAACUGCCAUUGAAACUGUUUGGCUCGAGUACGAGAGAGGUGAGUGGAAUUCCCAGUGUAGAGGUGAAAUUCGUAGAUAUUGGGAAGAACACCGGUGGCGAAGGCGGCUCACUGGCUCGUAACUGACGCUCAUGCACGACAGCGUGGGGAUCAAACAGG
rnacentral:rRNA from 1 species